rfam:Neotoma lepida isolate 417 scaffold_1433, whole genome shotgun sequence.
CCAAAGGCUCUUUUCAGAGCCACUCAUCUNUUCUUUGAUAAGAACU